GGGGCCUUGGCGCAAUUGGUAGCGCACUUGCUUUGCAAGCAAGGGGUUACGGGUUCGAGUCCCGUAGGCUCCA
rnacentral:tRNA from 1 species